CAGACCACCGCCCCUUGAAGUUCCGGGGGGCAGCCCCCAUAAUGCUGGUCAUGGUUGUAAUUCCGGCAAUCUGGAGGCGUUCUGGACGCGGGUUCGAUUCCCGCCACCUCCACCUAAGAGUUUCGGAGAGUUCUUAGGUGGGGGUGUACUGGCUUCGACAGGGCGGGCAAAGGUGCGCAGGCAACUCGUCAGGCGAUCGACGUUAAUGAAGCAAAUCUCCAAACGCCAACGAUGAGCGUUUCGCAAUCGCCGCUUAAGGCUUUUGCCGAGGCUGCUUGAGCCUUGUUACCAAAGAAAAGCCGGUGGGGACUUCGGUCCCCAUCGUUA
rfam:Dechlorosoma suillum PS, complete genome.